UACGUAGGGUGCAAGCGUUGUCCGGAAUUAUUGGGCGUAAAGAGCUCGUAGGCGGUUUGUUGCGUCGGCUGUGAAAUCCCGAGGCUCAACCUCGGGUCUGCAGUCGAUACGAGCAAACUAGAGUGUUGCAGGGGAGACUGGAAUUCCUGGUGUAGCGGUGGAAUUCGCAGAUAUCAGGAGGAACACCGGUGGCGAAGGCGGGAUCCUGGGCCAGUACUGACGCUGAGGAGCGAAAGCGUGGGGAGCAAACAGG
rnacentral:rRNA from 1 species